rnacentral:rRNA from 1 species
GUGGCAUACGGCUCAGUAACACGUAGUCAACAUGCCCAGGGGACGUGGAUAACCUCGGGAAACUGAGGAUAAACCACGAUAGGUCAUAAUAUCUGGAAUGAUUUAUGGCUAAAAUCUACAUGGCCCCUGGAUUGGACUGCGGCCGAUCAGGCUGUUGGUGAGGUAAUGGCCCACCAAACCUAAAACCGGUACGGGCUCUGAGAGGAGAAGCCCGGAGAUGGGCACUGAGACAAGGGCCCAGGCCCUAUGGGGCGCAGCAGGCGCGAAAACUCUGCAAUAAGCGAAAGCUUGACAGGGUUAUUCUGAGUGAUUUCCGCUAAGGAAAUCUUUUGGCACCUCUAAAAAUGGUGCAGAAUAAGGGGUGGGCAAGCCUGGUGUCAGCCGCCGCGGUAAUACCAGCACCCCGAGUGGUCGGGACGAUUAUUGGGCCUAAAGCAUCCGUAGCCGGUUCUACAAGUCUUCCGUUAAAUCCAUCUGCUUAACAGAUGGGCUGCGGAGGAUACUAUGGAGCUAGGAGGCGGGAGAGGCAAGCGGUACUUAGUGGGUAGGGGUAAAAUCCGUUGAUCCACUGAAGACCACCAGUGGCGAAGGCGGCUUGCCAGAACGCGCUCGACGGUGAGGGAUGAAAGCUGGGGGAGCAAACCGGAUUAGAUACCCGGGUAGUCCCAGCUGUAAACGAUGCA